rnacentral:rRNA from 1 species
UACGAAGGGGACUAGCGUUGUUCGGAAUUACUGGGCGUAAAGCGCACGUAGGCGGAUUUGUUAGUCAGGGGUGAAAUCCCAGGGCUCAACCCUGGAACUGCCUUUAAUACUGGGUAUCUCGAGUCCGAGAGAGGUGAGUGGAAUUCCGAGUGUAGAGGUGAAAUUCGUAGAUAUUCGGAGGAACACCAGUGGCGAAGGCGGCUCACUGGCUCGGUACUGACGCUGAGGUGCGAAAGCGUGGGGAGCAAACAGG